UGAAAGUGACGAGGAGCAAUUUGAUUGAGAAAGCUGUUGUUCAGGUCUUCGAAGGUACCUCUGGGAUUGACAAUAAGUUACAACUGUGCAAUUUACUGGAGAGGUAUAACUUGUUUUUAUUAUUGUCUACUUUAGCUUGAUGUCCAUGUGAAAUUGAGUUUGCAAAUUCAUUGAGUUUACUGUCUUUGAUUUUUGCUCUCUGCUGUUUACUUCUUAGAUGACCCUUUCUUCUGAUUGCUCAUUUUUGUAAAGAGAAUCUGGUGUCCUUUGUAUUC